rnacentral:rRNA from 1 species
ACGGGGGCCCGCACAAGCGGUGGAGCAUGUGGUUUUAAUUCGAUGCAACGCGAAGAACCUUACCAGGUCUUGACAUCUGUGGAACCUUGUUGAAAGAUGAGGGUGCCUUCGGGAGCCACAAGACAGGUGGUGCAUGGUUGUCGUCAGCUCGUGUCGUGAGAUGUUGGGUUAAGUCCCGCAACGAGCGCAACCCUUGCUAUUAGUUGCUAACAUUUAAGGUGAGCACUCUAAUGGGACUGCCGGUGACAAGCCGGAGGAAGGUGGGGAUGACGUCAAAUCAUCAUGCCCUUUAUGACCUGGGCUACACACGUGCUACAAUGGAUGGUACAGAGAGCAGCAAGACCGCGAGGUGGAGCGAAUCUCAAAAAGCCAUUCUCAGUUCGGAUUGUAGUCUGCAACUCGACUACAUGAAGUCGGAAUCGCUAGUAAUCGCGAAUCAGCAUGUCGCGGUGAAUGCGUUCCCGGGCCUUGUACACACCGCCAAACAUAUUGCGCUAUGGUAGAUCCUCUGACGCAGUCGACGCUGCGUGAGCGAUGCAAUGCCUUCGGGUUGUAAAGCUCUGUUUUAGGGGACGAAUGUCACGGGGAGUAAUAUGUCCUGUGAAUGACGGUACCCUAAGAGGAAGCCCCGGCUAACUACGUGCCAGCAGCCGCGGUAAGACGUAGGGGGCGAGCGUUGUCCGGAAUUACUGGGCGUAAAGAGCACGUAGGCGGAACUUUAAGUCAGGUGUGAAAGACCGAGGCUCAACCUCGGGGUUGCACUUGAAACUGGAGUCCUUGAGGGCAGGAGAGGAAAGCAGAAUUCCUGGUGUAGCGGUGAAAUGCGUAGAAAUCAGGAGGAAUACCAGUGGCGAAGGCGGCUUUCUGGACUGUCCCUGACGCUGAGGUGCGAAAGCGUGGGUAGCAAACAGGAUUAGAUACCCUGGUAGUCCACGCCGUAAACGAUGGAUACUAGGUGUGGGAGGUAUCGACCCCUUCCGUGCCGCAGCUAACGCAAUAAGUAUCCCGCCCUGGGGAG